AGCCUCCACGUUCGUUACUAUCAGAACAUGUUUCAAAAAAGUUUAAAUAAGACUGUUCAAGUUCUAAAGUUUUUCCAUUUACUAUCAAAAGUUUGCGCAAACUUUCGGUCUCCUUAGGAAAAAAAAAGAACAUUAGCAAAAAUAGAAACAAAACUCUGUCCUCAGGAAAUAUGUAAAGGAAGCAACGCCUUAUUAAAUCUCUUAGGGCAUCCAUUAUAAGGCUUUUAAAAUCCUGAUUUCUAUUUUCAAGCACAACAUUUAGCAUUUGAUGAAAUGUUGACCAAAUAAAAUUGAAAGAAAAAGAGUAAGAUUUUUUAAGGGAGAUAAAAUGUUGAAAUACGACAACUACAGAUAAAAAUGAUUUUAUGCUUAGUUUAUAACGUCUUAUGAGUUCAUCCACCUUUCUAUUUAUCGACUGACUCUCCGAAUACGCAAGCCUUAUAGUUUCAUGUUUUUCUUUUAAAUUUUUAAGGAGCACAACAAUCUCGUCAGUUCCUACGAUGUUUUCAUUAGAAGAACAUAGGGUUUUUAACAGUUGCUCUUGCAAACUGCGUAUCUGUCGUUCAAUGCUUAACUUCAAAGUGAAACAGUUGUCUUUUUGCUUAAAUACUCCAGGUUCUUGCACACUUAUAACUGACUUGAGCAUUUGAGUUUCCAACAAGGAUAUGCUAAGUGUAAAAUUAACAACAUUCAUGAACUUCGAAGCCUUGUUUUCAAGUUCGUUGCUUUGAACUUCUGAAAAAAAUAUAAUAUUUAAAGGCAAAGUUAUCGUGAUAGUAUCCUUGGCAAAGGUAGUUUGUACCUCUCCAGAUCCAGUAAAAAAUUCCGGUUUCAGUAAAGGCUCAAUGGAAACAUCCCAAAGUUCAGCAUCUUUUAUUAUUAUAGCGGAACCACUUAGUAAAGCAAGCUUGAUUUGAUUUUGAAAUGACUUAUUUGAGAAAGAAAUGAGAUCGGAUGCUUUUCCUUUAUAUAGUGAUGGUAAGAUAUCCAGAAUUUGAGAUGAUGGAUCUAUUAUUAAGAGAGGACUUUUAUUUUCCUGAAUUAUGUAAAUGUUUUCCAAGGAAUAAUCUGUCAAGUUUUUAUAAUAUUUGCUUUCGAUACUAGUUUGAACGCAACGCUCUAUGUUAGUCCUUACAGCAGACUUACUUAUAGGAAAGCCAAACGAACUUAUGAUAGGUUCGCACUUGUUUCUCAGAAAUAUACGCAUUGAAGGAUCCAAAUUUCCAGCAUAUACAACAAAAGAAGCUUCCAUUAAGGAUUCACCUACAAGAUUCCACAUGCGCUUUGGAUACAAAUUCAAGAACCCAGACCACUCAUUACGCUCAAUUGACAAAUCAGUAAUAACUUCAAUGCUACGUUGCAUUUUACAUUUUACUUCGUCCAUUUGAAGUUCCAUCGAAUGUAUUUCGGAAAUCAUUGAUGCAUACUCUUCUUGAAGCUGUAACAACUUUUCGUCUAAAUCCUUGCAAGCGGCAAUAGUUUCUUGGAUACACUCCUCCGCAUUUUUUUGCUCAAGCUUUAACCUGUCAACUUCAGAAUUUAAUGGCUCUAAUUUCUCUAAAACUUUUGAAUAAUUGCAGAUAGAUUUGAUCCAUAAAAGAAGUGGACCACAUGCCUUACUUGCCCUGUUAACCGAAUCAAACGUAAAGAUGGGAUUCGAAAAAUAGUCUUGUUCUAUUUUUCUUCUCAAAUUAAUUGACAAUUCCUUUUCAAGAUUGUAAUUUAAGAUUUUCGGAAUAAAGUCAUCUCUUUUUAACAACUGUUGAACAUUUUUCCAAUCCGUAGCAGAAAACCCCAAGAGUUUGCAGACUACUUCCAUAGUAAUUCUAAUAGCCAUUGGAGGUCGAGAAAGACUACGCAAUUCUAUCAAGUGUGCCUUUUUAAUAUCACUAACGGACUUCCUAGCUUCAAUCACUGCUGGCUUUGCAUAUGAAACUUCUUUCAUGACAGAAUUUUUUUUUUCGUUAAGCAAAAAUGAUUUCUUCUGAAGUGAAGCUUCAGCUUGAAGGCUAUAGACUUUUUUGGCCUCAACUGCUUGUUUUGUCUGUAUUAUACACUGGAGCCUAUCGUUUGCUGUUUUGGUUUUCGAAAAUAAUACAUUUUGCUGAUCGGAAAGAGCUUCUUUAAAUUUAUCAAUACCUUGUGACGUUUCCUUGAUCUUUUUGAAACCAUUUUCUAUUCUGCUUUUUUCUUUACUCAAUUUGUUUGCAUCUCUUCCAAAAAUCAAGCAAAAUGUGUUUAAAAAACGGAUGAAAUGUAAACAUGAAAAAUAUGAUGUUUUCCCUAGAUGUUUAAAUUCCCAAACGAUCGAAGUAUGUGUGUUUACGACUGCCUGCGCAACGGCAUCAUAAAUGGAACUUCCUUUAAUAUUUUUUAGAUUUGGGUUGUCAUGAUCAAGAGCAUUCAAACUUAUAGUCUCUUGUAGCACUUCGUUCGCAAUUUGUAACAUAGAAUGAUAAUCCCAUGAAUGAUAGUAAUCUAUAGUACAUCUGUUUAACAAAGCGGGAGACAAGGAAUUUGUUUGAAAAUCCACAUCCGCACUGGUGUAAACAUAAAAAACAACACACAAAUUUUGAAAC